AUGCUUAACACAUGCAAGUCAACUUGAAUUUGGGUUUUUAACUUAGGUUUGGGUGGCGGACGGGUGAGUAACGCGUAAAGAACUUGCCUCACAGCUAGGGACAACAUUUGGAAACGAAUGCUAAUACCUAAUAUUAUGAUAAUAGGGCAUCCUAUAAUUAUGAAAGCUAUAAGCGCUGUGAGAGAGCUUUGCGUCCCAUUAGCUAGUUGGAGAGGUAACGGCUCACCAAGGCGAUGAUGGGUAGCCGGCCUGAGAGGGUGAUCGGCCACAAGGGGACUGAGACACGGCCCUUACUCCUACGGGAGGCAGCAGUGGGGAAUAUUGGACAAUGGACCAAGAGUCUGAUCCAGCAAUUCUGUGUGCACGAUGAAGUUUUUCGGAAUGUAAAGUGCUUUCAGUUGGGAAGAAAUAAAUGACGGUACCAACAGAAGAAGUGACGGCUAAAUACGUGCCAGCAGCCGCGGUAAUACGUAUGUCACGAGCGUUAUCCGGAUUUAUUGGGCGUAAAGCGCGUCUAGGUGGUUAUGUAAGUCUGAUGUGAAAAUGCAGGGCUCAACUCUGUAUUGCGUUGGAAACUGUAUAACUAGAGUACUGGAGAGGUAAGCGGAACUACAAGUGUAGAGGUGAAAUUCGUAGAUAUUUGUAGGAAUGCCGAUGGGGAAGCCAGCUUACUGGACAGAUACUGACGCUGAAGCGCGAAAGCGUGGGUAGCAAACAGGAUUAGAUACCCUGGUAGUCCACGCCGUAAACGAUGAUUACUAGGUGUUGGGGGUCGAACCUCAGCGCCCAAGCAAACGCGAUAAGUAAUCCGCCUGGGGAGUACGUACGCAAGUAUGAAACUCAAAGGAAUUGACGGGGACCCGCACAAGCGGUGGAGCAUGUGGUUUAAUUCGACGCAAC
rnacentral:rRNA from 1 species